GCUGUGGCUCAGUGGCAGCGUAUCUUGUUUUGCAUGCAGAAGGUCCUGGGUUCAAUCCCCGGCAUCACCA